GACGAACGCUGGCGGCGUGCUUAACACAUGCAAGUCGAACGGAAAGGCCCUGCUUUUGUGGGGUGCUCGAGUGGCGAACGGGUGAGUAACACGUGAGUAACCUGCCCUUGACUUUGGGAUAACUUCAGGAAACUGGGGCUAAUACCGGAUAGGAGCUCCUGCUGCAUGGUGGGGGUUGGAAAGUUUCGGCGGUUGGGGAUGGACUCGCGGCUUAUCAGCUUGUUGGUGGGGUAGUGGCUUACCAAGGCUUUGACGGGUAGCCGGCCUGAGAGGGUGACCGGGCCACUUGGGACUGAGAGACGGACCAGAAUUCAAAGGGGGGCAAGAGGGGGGAAUAUUGCACAAUGGGCGGAAGCCUGAUGCAGCAACGCCGCGUGCGGGAUGACGGCCUUCGGGUUGUAAACCGCUUUCGCCUGUGACGAAGCGUGAGUGACGGUAAUGGGUAAAGAAGCACCGGCUAACUACGUG
rnacentral:rRNA from 1 species